rnacentral:rRNA from 1 species
CGCAUGGCGCCCUCCUUAUACAUUGCAGUUGAGCGCUGAAGGUUGGUACUUGUACCGACUGGAUGAGCAGCGAACGGGUGAGUAACGCGUGGGGAAUCUGCCUUUGAGCGGGGGACAACAUUUGGAAACGAAUGCUAAUACCGCAUAAAAACUUUAAACACAAGUUUUAAGUUUGAAAGAUGCAAUUGCAUCACUCAAAGAUGAUCCCGCGUUGUAUUAGCUAGUUGGUGAGGUAAAGGCUCACCAAGGCGAUGAUACAUAGCCGACCUGAGAGGGUGAUCGGCCACAUUGGGACUGAGACACGGCCCAAACUCCUACGGGAGGCAGCAGUAGGGAAUCUUCGGCAAUGGACGAAAGUCUGACCGAGCAACGCCGCGUGAGUGAAGAAGGUUUUCGGAUCGUAAAACUCUGUUGGUAGAGAAGAACGUUGGUGAGAGUGGAAAGCUCAUCAAGUGACGGUAACUACCCAGAAAGGGACGGCUAACUACGUGCCAGCAGCCGCGGUAAUACGUAGGUCCCGAGCGUUGUCCGGAUUUAUUGGGCGUAAAGCGAGCGCAGGUGGUUUAUUAAGUCUGGUGUAAAAGGCAGUGGCUCAACCAUUGUAUGCAUUGGAAACUGGUAGACUUGAGUGCAGGAGAGGAGAGUGGAAUUCCAUGUGUAGCGGUGAAAUGCGUAGAUAUAUGGAGGAACACCGGUGGCGAAAGCGGCUCUCUGGCCUGUAACUGACACUGAGGCUCGAAAGCGUGGGGAGCAAACAGGAUUAGAUACCCUGGUAGUCCACGCCGUAAACGAUGAGUGCUAGAUGUAGGGAGCUAUAAGUUCUCUGUAUCGCAGCUAACGCAAUAAGCACUCCGCCUGGGGAGUACGACCGCAAGGUUGAAACUCAAAGGAAUUGACGGGGGCCCGCACAAGCGGUGGAGCAUGUGGUUUAAUUCGAAGCAACGCGGAGAACCUUACCAGGUCUUGACAUACUCGUGCUAUUCCCUAGAGAUAGGAAGUUUCCUUCGGGACACGGGGAUACAGGUGGUUGCAUGGUUGUCGUCAGCUCGUGG